rnacentral:rRNA from 1 species
GUCGAGGGGCAGCAUGACCUAGCAAUAGGUUGAUGGCGACCGGCGCACGGGUGAGUAACACGUAUCCAACCUACCGGUUAUUCCGGGAUAGCCUUUCGAAAGAAAGAUUAAUACCGGAUAGUAUAACGAGAAGGCAUCUUUUUGUUAUUAAAGAAUUUCGAUAACCGAUGGGGAUGCGUUCCAUUAGUUUGUUGGCGGGGUAACGGCCCACCAAGACAUCGAUGGAUAGGGGUUCUGAGAGGAAGGUCCCCCACAUUGGAACUGAGACACGGUCCAAACUCCUACGGGAGGCAGCAGUGAGGAAUAUUGGUCAAUGGACGAGAGUCUGAACCAGCCAAGUAGCGUGAAGGAUGACUGCCCUAUGGGUUGUAAACUUCUUUUAUAUGGGAAUAAAGUGAGCCACGUGUGGCUUUUUGUAUGUACCAUACGAAUAAGGAUCGGCUAACUCCGUGCCAGCAGCCGCGGUAAUACGGAGGAUCCGAGCGUUAUCCGGAUUUAUUGGGUUUAAAGGGAGCGUAGGCGGACUAUUAAGUCAGCUGUGAAAGUUUGCGGCUCAACCGUAAAAUUGCAGUUGAUACUGGUCGUCUUGAGUGCAGUAGAGGUAGGCGGAAUUCGUGGUGUAGCGGUGAAAUGCUUAGAUAUCACGAAGAACUCCGAUUGCGAAGGCAGCUUACUGGACUGUAACUGACGCUGAUGCUCGAAAGUGUGGGUAUCAAACAGGAUUAGAUACCCUGGUAGUCCACACAGUAAACGAUGAAUACUCGCUGUUUGCGAUAUACAGCAAGCGGCCAAGCGAAAGCAUUAAGUAUUCCACCUGGGGAGUACGCCGGCAACGGUGAAACUCAAAGGAAUUGACGGGGGCCCGCACAAGCGGAGGAACAUGUGGUUUAAUUCGAUGAUACGCGAGGAACCUUACCCGGGCUUAAAUUGCAAAUGAAUAUAGUGGAAACAUUAUAGCCGCAAGGCAUUUGUGAAGGUGCUGCA